rnacentral:lncRNA from 10 species
UUAAUCUUUUCUAAAAGACACUACAGAAAUGUACUCCCAUGAAUGAUCAUUACAUGUAUAAAAAUAGUUAAAUAUGUACUAAAUGAGAGAAAGUGAUUUGAAAUAGUCCCCAGAUAUUUGAAGUACAUUUUUCCCCAAUGGUAAUAAUCCACUUAGGUUAUAAUUGCUUAGCUGAACUGAAUUAGUUAAAAACAGAAGCUAUUUUUCAGGGAAAACAAACUGCAAUGGCUCUUAAUUGCUACUAACAUUUGUUAAUAGUUUCAGUUUAUUUCAUAUGGAUUUUUAUUUUCUUUUUAAAAUUAAUUUUUUUUUGUAUUUUUAUUGGCAUAUCAUAGUUGCACAUAUUUGGGGGUACAUGUGAUACUUUGAUACGUAUAUCCAAUGUGUGAUGAUCAAGUCAGCGUCAUUGGGAUAUCUACCACCUCAAGCAUUUAUCUUUUCUUUGUGCUGGGAACGUUACAAUUCUCUUUUAGCUAUUUUGCAGAUUUUUAUUUUCAAGGGUAUUAUUUGGAAAGAUGUCAUUUUGUCUGGCCUAAGCCAAAAUAGCACUUCUAGCUGAAAGCAGCUCUCAAAAUCAGUCAUGAUUACCCAUAGGAAAUAAUUAUUUUAUUGGGGUUGGACUUUGUAGAUUCAACUACUUUAGAGAGAGCAAAUAUCCCACCACUGCAUAGGAUGAUACAGACAACACCCAAAAAGAGAAGGACAGAGAAUUCUUACACGUUAAUGGUCUAGUCACAUUUUAUUUCCUUUCCUUCUAUACAUGCCCCAAAUCAUACAACAGGGACAAUACUCACUACAAGAAAACUAUAUCCAUGAACCUCAUUCUCAUAGACACAACUAUCAAAUGACCUUAUGUCAGAGAAUAACAUGUCACCAGUAAUGAAGGAGGCAAGGAUUGUCAGCAAUAGCUUGUACCUACUGAAAUAUCCAUAGACAUUAUUGUGUUAUUGUAAUAUUUUGAGCAUAUUCUUUUUAAUUAAAGGUGAAAUAUUAGUUCUGCACUUAAAAUACAUAUCACAACGUAUUUGGAAACAUUGUUACAGUAAAUGAUUCCAGAUGUUCUCUGACAAGUCAUGAGAGCCCAUUUGAGAAAAAUUGAUAUACAGUAAUGUAUGUGUGUGUAUAAGUUAAACUGUGUUUACAUAUACAUUUAUGUAUAUCAUAUACAGGCAGACAGACACACACCCAUAUACAUUCAUACACAAUGACAAGAAAAUAAACCAGAGUAAAUGUGGAAAUUUGGGGAAAGAAAUUGAUAACUCUCCAUAAACAAUUUGCUAAAGUAAAUCACUGAACUUAAUGGUUGAAAUGAAACACACAAGGGAGCAAUUAGGUAGAGUAAUGCAAAGGCAAAUAAAUAAGACCAAACUUCAAGCAAAUAUAAUGGUUCUUCAAUGCUGCUGAUAAGUUUCAAGACAAGUUAGCUUGACUAGUUAAAUCUCAGGAAGGAGCAGUAUCAUGAACAUCUUCAGAAUCUAGAUGGACCUCCACUUCUGUCAUUCCUUAUUGGUGAGACAGUCAGAGUUCUUCCCAGGGUCAAGGAGAAAGAGUAUAUAUUCCACUUCUUGGAGAGGGAGUAGCAAAAUCACCCUUAUACAAGCCAUUUAGGAAGAUGUCAAAAAUAUAACUUGAGGAAAAUCUGAUGAUCUUCAACCUUGGUAUAGAAGGUGAAGUCCUGUGAACAGCGGAAGGAGGCAGCAAGCCAUGAAGUCAAACUACUCUGCACAAGAAAUCUUAGGAAUGUUCAACCCUG